AUUGCAGGCUGAAACCCGCCUGUAUGAAGUUGGAAUUGCUAGUAAUCGUAGAUCAGCAUGCUACGGUGAAUACGUUCCCGGGCCUUGUACACACCGCCCGUCACACCAUGGGAGCCGGUAAUACCCGAAGUCAGUAGUCCAACCACGUGAGGACGCUGCCGAAGGUAGGAUUGGCGACUGGGGUGAAGUCGUAACAAGGUACC
rnacentral:rRNA from 1 species